CGGAGGCUACCGCUAUUGGAGUUCGAUUAAGCCAUGCGAGUCGAGAGUCCUCGGGACUCGGCGUACCGCUCAGUAACACGUGGGUAACCUGCCCUAUGCUGGGGAAUAACCUCGGGAAACUGAGAAUAAUGCCCCAUAGCCCACUACGCCUGGAACGGUGAGUGGGUCAAAGCCCCGGCGGCAUAGGAUGGGCCUGCGCCGUAUCAGGUUGUAGGGGGUGUAAAGUACCCUCUAGCCAUCAACGCGUACGGGUGUUGGGAGACAUUGCCCGGAGAUGGAUUCUGAGACACGAAUCCAGACCCUACGGGGUGCAGCAGGCGCGAAAACUUGGCAAUGCGAGCAAUCGUGACCAGGGAACUCCAAGUGCGUAGGGUAAGACCUACGCUUUUCUUGACUCUUCAAAGGUCUUGGAAUAAGGGGUGGGUAAGGACGGUGCCAGCCGCCGCGGUAAUACCGGCGCCUCAAGUGGUAGUCGCUUUUAUUGGGCCUAAAACGUCCGUAGCCGGUCUGGUGCAUUCGUGGGUAAAUCAACCCGCUCAACGGGUUGAAUUCUGCGAGCACGGCCAGACUUGGGACCGGGAGAGGUGUGGGGUACUCUCAGGGUAGGGGUAAAAUCCUGUCAUCCUGAGAGGACCACCUGUUGCGAAGGCGCCACACUAGAACGGAUCCGACGGUCAGGGACAAAACCUAGGGGCACGAACCGGAUUAGAUACCCGGGUAGUCCUAGGUGUAAACGCUGUGGACUUGAUGUUGGGGGCGCUUCGAGCGCUCUCAGUGUCGAAGCGAAGGUGAUAAGUCCACUGCCUGGGGAGUACGGUCGCAAGGCUGAAACUUAAAGGAAUUGGCGGGG
rnacentral:rRNA from 1 species